CUUUAAGUAAGAUGUUUACUUUCAGUUUCUUUGCUGUAAACAGAUGACUUACAAGAAAUCGCGUGAGCGGAAAUCGUGCAUUAGUAAACGUACCUCAGAGCACAUCGUUGGUAGUAGACUUAUGUUUUAUUGACAAAUACUUGUCGUUGCACUAUUUUGUCUUUUUAUAUGGAAGCCGGUGUGUUUUGACAGCUGAGUAGCAGACGCGUCUGCAGGAUGUUUACUCACAAACUGACUUCAGGUUCUGGACAGACAUUAUAAACGGAACACUGCGGUUUAAAGCGACGGGUUUUCACGUUUCCAUUAACAUCUGAACAAGUUCGUUUCUGUUCUGAAAUGGAGUUCACAGAUGAGGAGAAACUAUGGCUGCAAAGCAUUUCUGAAGAGAUACCUGAAGGAAGUGAACUCACUCCGGUGGAAAAGCAGCUCUGGGAGAAAGCAAAGCCCGACACGGAAUUUCAGGGACAGUUGUUCCAGCUCAUGGCCUCCAUGCGGUUCGGAAUCAUUGAUUCAACGAUAUCCACCAAAGUGAUGAAAAACUCUCUCCAACAGAGAAUCAGUGUCAUAUGUGGAUAGUCACUAAAUACAAGACAACGGUGAUUUUUCUUUAAAAAUUGCCUUUUUAAUUGUUUCCUUGUUGAUGUUGAUAUUAUAAAAUGACAUGAUAAUUACUUGUUAUUGACAGUUCGACCAUUAGUUCACCCCGUUAAAUGUCAUACUGCUUAAAAUAUGGAAAUUACACUUUUGUGGUCAUGUAAAUACAUUUACACUUAAGUGAUCACUAGUGCGUUUUUGCUUUAAUAAUGAUGCCAUGUUUUGUUUACAGUACUGUAUAAGCACAUAUCAUAAAAAUUGAAUUUCAGGGUAAAUUUGAGCAUUCUACUGGUGCAGUUCAACAAUACUUUUUGUUUAUAUCUAUAUGUGGAAAGAAAAAGUAGUAUUUCAAGUAGUACCAAAGAGUAGUUCAAGUUUUUAUGAAUUGUACAGGUGUUUUUCCUUCAUUCACAGAAUGCUAUUGAAAUGAAAUGGUGCUCUUUUGUAUAUCCAAGUAUAUAAACCGGAAGUAAGCUGGAAAUGAGAUGACACUUAACGUGCAUUCAAUAUGCUUACAAUGAUCAUAAGAUUUCUACCUCAUUCUCAAUCUCUUUUUAGUAGAAAACAAAUAAUUGUGGAAACAUCUAUUUGACCCAAAUCGUUACUUUUACACACAUUUAACUAUAAUACACUGGACCAAUAUAUUUGCAAGGUGAUAUAAUAUUUUAAGAUGUGAACUGAUCUGAAUUGCCCCAAGACAAAAAAUUUGAAUUUUCUUACUGCUGCCAUGCACAUUUUUAAAAUAUGAUUGUCUAAGCCUUACUAUUGUAUUUUAGCAUGAAUAAUUAAAGUGGAUUAUAAUA